AUCUCCAUUUCUGGCUCGCCCAGCUAGGAGGAGAGAAGAUCAAGUUUAGGUCUGGGGGGUGUCAGAGAGUCGUAUUGUCUGCGUUAUCAGUAUCUUGUUAUUACCUACUUGAGAGUGUAAGACUUGUAUUCUGACUGUAUUUGUAAUUUGCAAACUGUUGGAUUGUAUUUGUAUUCUGUAGGGCUGCUAAAGCCCGUACUUGUAGUAUGUCAGUUUUCAGUACCCUAUUUGUGCUUUUAUGUUCUAUUCAUAUUUGCUUGUUA